UACGUAGGGGGCAAGCGUUGUCCGGAUUUAUUGGGCGUAAAGAGCGUGUAGGCGGCCAGGUAGGUCCGUUGUGAAAACUGGAGGCUUAACCUCCAGCUGUCGAUGGAAACCAUCUGGCUAGAGUCCGGAAGAGGAGAGUGGAAUUCCUGGUGUAGCGGUGAAAUGCGCAGAUAUCAGGAAGAACACCCGUGGCGAAAGCGGCGAGCUGGACCACUACUGACGCUGAAGAACGAAAGCUAGGGGAGCAAACAGG
rnacentral:rRNA from 1 species